rnacentral:rRNA from 1 species
GACCCAUUUUGGCGGCGUGCUUUUACAUGCAAGUCGAACGGUAAGGCUCUUGAUUGCUGGGGUACACGAGUGGCGAACGGGUGAGUAACACGUGGGUGACCUGCCCUGCACUUCGGGAUAAGCCUGGGAAACUGGGUCUAAUACCGGAUAGGACCGCACCGUGAGGGUGUGGUGGAAAGUUUUUUCGGUGUGGGAUGGGCCCGCGGCCUAUCAACUUGUUGGUGGGGUAAUGGCCUACCAAGGCCGCGACGGGUAGCCGGCCUGAGAGGGUGGACGGCCACAUUGGGACUGAGACACGGCCCACACUCCUACGGGAGGCAGCAGUGGGGAAUCUUGCCCAAUGGGCGGAAGCCUGAUGCAGCGACUCCGCGUGGGGGAUGACGGCCUUCGGGUUGUAAACUUCUUUCUCCCAUCGACGAUCGGUUUCUGACCGUAGAUGGAGAACAAGCGCCGGCUCACCACGUGCCUGCAACCGUCGUUAUACUUAGGGUGCCACCGUUGUCGGGAAUUACUGGGCGUAAAAACCUUCGUAGUGGUUUGUCGCGUCGUCUGUGAAUUCCGGGGCUUAACUCCGGGCGUGCAGGCGAUACGGGCAUAACUUGAGUACUGUAGGGGAGACUGGAAUUCCUGGUGUAGCGGUGAAAUGCGCAGAUAUCAGGAGGAACACCGGUGGCGAAGGCGGGUCUCUGGGCAGUAACUGACGCUGAGGAGCGAAAGCAUGGGGAGCGAACAGGAUUAGAUACCCUGGUAGUCCAUGCCGUAAACGGUGGGCGCUAGGUGUGGGUUUCCUUCCACGGGAUCCGUGCCGUAGCUAACGCAUUAAGCGCCCCGCCUGGGGAGUACGGCCGCAAGGCUAAAACUCAAAGGAAUUGACGGGGGCCCGCACAAGCGGCGGAGCAUGUGGAUUAAUUCGAUGCAACGCGAAGAACCUUACCUGGGCUUGACAUAUACAGGAUCGCGCCAGAGAUGGUGUUUCCCUUGUGGCUUGUAUACAGGUGGUGCAUGGUUGUCGUCAGCUCGUGUCGUGAGAUGUUGGGUUAAGUCCCGCAACGAGCGCAACCCUUGUCUUAUGUUGCCAGCACGUUGUGGUGGGGACUCGUAAGAAACUGCCGGGGUUAACUCGGAGGAAGGUGGGAUGACGUCAAAUCAUCAUGCCCCUUAUGUCCAGGGCUUCACACAUGCUACAAUGGUCGGUACAGUGGGUUGCCAGUCCGUGAGGGCGAGCUAAUCCCGCAAAGCCGGUCUCAGUUCGGAUCGGGGUCUGCAACUCGACCCCGUGAAGUCGGAGUCGCUAGUAAUCGCAGAUCAGCAACGCUGCGGUGAAUACGUUCCCGGGCCU